AUGAACGCUGGCGGCGUGCCUAAUACAUGCACGUCGAGCGAACAGACGAGGAGCUUGCUCCUCUGACGUUAGCGGCGGACGGGUGAGUAACACGUGGAUAACCUACCUAUAAGACUGGGAUAACUUCGGGAAACCGGAGCUAAUACCGGAUAAUAUAUUGAACCGCAUGGUUCAAUAGUGAAAGACGGUUUUGCUGUCACUUAUAGAUGGAUCCGCGCCGCAUUAGCUAGUUGGUAAGGUAACGGCUUACCAAGGCAACGAUGCGUAGCCGACCUGAGAGGGUGAUCGGCCACACUGGAACUGAGACACGGUCAAGACUCCUACGGGAGGCAGCAGUAGGGAAUCUUCCGCAAUGGGCGAAAGCCUGACGGAGCAACGCCGCGUGAGUGAUGAAGGUCUUCGGAUCGUAAAACUCUGUUAUUAGGGAAGAACAAAUGUGUAAGUAACUAUGCACGUCUUGACGGUACCUAAUCAGAAAGCCACGGCUAACUACGUG
rnacentral:rRNA from 1 species